rnacentral:misc_RNA from 1 species
GAUGAAGAACGUAGCGAAAUGCGAUAAGUAGUGUGAAUUGCAGAAUUCAGUGAAUCAUCGAAUCUUUGAACGCACAUUGCGCCCCUUGGUAUUCCAUGGGGCAUGCCUGUUCGAGCGUCAUUUGUACCUUCAAGCUUGCUUGGUGUUGGGUGUUUGUCUCGCCUUUGCGUGUAGACUCGCCUUAAAAUAAUUGGCAGCCGGCGUAUUGAUUUCGGAGCGCAGUACAUCUCGCGCUUUGCACUCAUAACGACAGCGUCCAAAAGUACAUUUUACACUCUUGACCUCGGAUCAGGUAGGGAUACCCGCUGAACUUAAGCAUAUCAAUAAGCGGAGGA